UACGAAGGGGCUAGCGUUGUUCGGAAUCACUGGGCGUAAAGCGCACGUAGGCGGAUCUUUAAGUCAGGGUGAAAUCCCGAGGCUCAACCUCGGAACUGCCUUUGAUACUGGGAUCUCGAGUCCGGGAGAGGUGAGUGGAACUGCGAGUGUAGAGGUGAAAUUCGUAGAUAUUCGCAAGAACACCAGUGGCGAAGGCGGACUCACUGGCCCGGAACUGACGCUGAGGUGCGAAAGCGUGGGGAGCAACAGGAGUUA
rnacentral:rRNA from 1 species